ACGCCGGCGACGUUUGCUCACGCGGCGAUCCUCUCGCACUCCCGCGCAGCCGCCGCCGCCGCCGCCGCGGGAGUAACUGGAACAUUGACCUCCAACUGGGACUCGCGCGAGCGCGAGAGAGCACGAGCUCAGCCAAACAUCCCCAGGACCCACGCCCCUCGACCCAACCUCGCUGCUGCUGCUGCUGCUGCUGCUGCUGCUGCUGCAGAGUCGUGCUUGUCUAUGCAAACUCUCUCGGAGGGAUGAAUUUUUAGCGAGGCAGAGGACUCUCGAGGAAGACCAAUCAGCCUCGAAAGAAAAACUUCGGCGUCGAUCGAGUACUAAAAUACACACCUGUCGAGUGACGUUAAGGCUUGGUCUGGGGAAAGUGCGUAGGAACGCUACAACUUCUCAAAGUUCGUCCGCGUGAUCGUCGCGUGAAUAAAUACCUCUGUACAACGGAGUCGACAGAAAGCAGGCGUAACUUUGUAUCACGCUUCGCCGCCAGGAGCCUAGGAAAACGUGCCAAGAGGUAUCGUGCAAGCACUGCAAGCAUUCAUCACGGAGCAACGUGACUGUCUCGUGCUUACGCGACGUAAGUCGGGCCAUUCGAAACCUUAUUGAAGCGCUCUUUCGACCUUUAACUGCGGCUAACUUGCUUCGUGUGAUGAAAAGCCUCGAGAGCGAGUGAGGCUGUAUAGCUUCGCCCUCGCCUACGAGCUGCUGAUAAAGUCGAUCCUGAGCAAUCCAAUUAUCGAGUGAAUGAAGGAUUUUUCCUACAUCGUCUUUUUCAAAAUUUUCUCCAAUUAGAAAAAUCUAAACGAGUCGUUGCGAAAUUUAGCCCAUCUAUUUGCUGCACUUAUGCGAUUCAGGUAGGAUUUUUCGAAAAAUCCACGUACAUUUCCACGACUGCGACGCGUGAUCCGUUUCGAAUUUCCAACUAACUGACAUCGCGGUGGCGCAGCAACGGUAAACAUGUAUAAUUGUUCAAUAUUUGCCGUUCGAAAUACAAUACUCGCUCAACACUUCGAUCGAAAGAAGACUCCCUAGGGCGGACGAAACUAUACAUUCUACGAUCGAUGACGAAUAACUGAACAAAUAAAUGAGCUUCGAGGCGGUAAUAUAACGCGAAGACUUUCGAUUUCGCAGGUACGUUAAUGAGUUUUUCUUGUGACUCAGAAACACAAAUGUGGAAAAACGCAGUGCGUGGGUGGCCGCAAUGUAGCUAUGGCGGCAGUAAGAAUGAGCAGGAAGGCUUCUCUCAUUGAUAUUUUAAGUAAUAGCCUUAAGGCAUUCACUCUGGUAAAACCAUUGAAUGCGGAAAUGAAUGCCGGUAUAAUGGGUAAAAAUAACGCGCAUGAAAGGCAGCAUCCAAAUAAAUACAACGCGAAUCAUGUGUAAAUUUGUAAUGUUUAUCUACUAAUUGUAAGAAUGUAACAUGAUAUCGCAAAUGUUUGAUAUCGGAGUCAAAUUUGUACCAAUGUCAAUUUUCUAUCUAAAUUUCUAUAAAAAAAUAGAAUAUAAAAAAUAUCUUAAAAUGAUCACAGAUUUGAAAAAA